UCCCAGAAAAAUUAAUUAUGGAAAAAAAUGAUCCUUCACACAUUCCUUGGGUGCAAAAUUUGACAGCCCUUGUGCAAAAUGACGUGUCGUUGAGUCAUGUAUGCGCUCCAAUUCCGUUUGUGUGCACUAAUUUUCUUAACUGGAAAGAAAAUCAAACUUAGUUCGUGACAUAAGGACUAUAAUAUGCUAAUAUUAUGGAGACUAUUCGAAUUUGAAAUGUAGCAGUUGAUGCAAUCGAAUCAGAUGAUAGUGAGGCAGUUGCUGCGAUCCAGACGAUGGAGAUGGACGAAUCAAGUUUAAAGUAUUAUCACUCAAGGACUGGAAAUGUAUCCAUUCUUUGAAGAUAGUAUAACAGCUUCUUCUUCAUAUACUUUCUCUCCAUGCAUAUACUUUCUAUACAUGUAUACAGUGAAGUAAUAAAAAUUAUUAUUAUUUUUA